rnacentral:rRNA from 1 species
UACGUAGGGGGCAAGCGUUGUCCGGAUUUAUUGGGCGUAAAGAGCGUGUAGGCGGUUCGGUAGGUCCGUUGUGAAAACUCGAGCUCAACCUCGAGACGCCGAUGGAAACCCCCGAACCUAGAGUCCGGAAGAGGAGAGUGGAAUUCCUGGUGUAGCGGUGAAAUGCGCAGAUAUCAGGAAGAACACCCGUGGCUAAGGCGGCUCUCUAGUACGGUACUGACGCUGAGACGCGAAAAGCGUGGGGAGCGAACAGG